AGUCGUAACAAGGUUUCCGUAGGUGAACCUGCGGAAGGAUCAUUACCGAGUGCGGGUUCUAACGAGCCCAACCUCCCACCCGUGUUUACCGUAACCGUGUUGCCUCGGCGGGCCCACUGGGGCCCAGCCCCGGUCGCCGGGGGGCUUCGUGCCCCCGGGCCCGCGCCCGCCGAAGCACCCUGGAACCCUUUAUGAAGAGUGAGUCUGAGCAUGAGAUUGAAUCAUUAAAACUUUCAACAACGGAUCUCUUGGUUCCGGCAUCGAUGAAGAACGCAGCGAAAUGCGAUAAGUAAUGUGAAUUGCAGAAUUCCGUGAAUCAUCGAAUCUUUGAACGCACAUUGCGCCCCCUGGCAUUCCGGGGGGCAUGCCUGUCCGAGCGUCAUUUCUGCCCUCCAGCCCGGCUGGGUGUUGGGUGCUGUCCCCCCGGGGACACGCCCCAAAGGCAGUGGCGGCGCCGCGUCGGGUCCUCGAGCGUAUGGGGCUCUGUCACUCGCUCGGGAAGGACUCGCCGGCACUGGUCUCCUUCAAAAAAUUUUUCCGGUUGACCUCGGAUCAGGUAGGGUUACCCGCUGAACUUAAGCAUAUCAAUAAGCGGAGGAA
rnacentral:misc_RNA from 1 species